rnacentral:rRNA from 1 species
AGGACGAACGCUGGCGGCGUGCUUAACACAUGCAAGUCGAACGGUGAUCUCGGUGCUUGCACCGGGUGAUCAGUGGCGAACGGGUGAGUAACACGUGAGUAACCUGCCCCCGACUCUGGGACUAACCCCGGGAAAUCGGAGCUAAUACCGGAUACGAGACGCACAGGCAUCUGGUAGCGUCUUAGGAAAGUAUUUCGGUCGGGAUGGACUCGGCGGCCUAUCAGCUUAGGUUGGGUACGGGGUAACCGGCCCAACCGAAGGGCGAACGGACGGGGUACGCCGGGCCUGGAGGACGGGCGACCGGGCCAACGACCGUCGGGACUGGAGACACGGCCCAGACUCCGACGGG